rnacentral:rRNA from 1 species
UGGGGAAUUUUGGACAAUGGGCGAAAGCCUGAUCCAGCAAUGCCGCGUGUGUGAAGAAGGCCUUCGGGUUGUAAAGCACUUUUGUCCGGAAAGAAAUCCUUGGCUCUAAUACAGUCGGGGGAUGACGGUACCGGAAGAAUAAGCACCGGCUAACUACGUGCCAGCAGCCGCGGUAAUACGUAGGGUGCAAGCGUUAAUCGGAAUUACUGGGCGUAAAGCGUGCGCAGGCGGUUUGCUAAGACCGAUGUGAAAUCCCCGGGCUCAACCUGGGAACUGCAUUGGUGACUGGCAGGCUAGAGUAUGGCAGAGGGGGGUAGAAUUCCACGUGUAGCAGUGAAAUGCGUAGAGAUGUGGAGGAAUACCGAUGGCGAAGGCAGCCCCCUGGGCCAAUACUGACGCUCAUGCACGAAAGCGUGGGGAGCAAACAGGAUUAGAUACCCUGGUAGUCCACGCCCUAAACGAUGUCAACUAGUUGUUGGGAUUCAUUUCCUAGUAACGUAGCUAACGCGUGAAGUUGACCGCCUGGGGAGUACGGUCGCAAGAUUAAAACUUAAAGGAAUUGACGGGGUCAUAGCUGUUUCCU